rnacentral:rRNA from 1 species
UACGUAGGGUGCGAGCGUUAAUCGGAAUUACUGGGCGUAAAGCGUGCGCAGGCGGCGCGUUAAGACAGGUGUGAAAGCCCCGAGCUUAACUUGGGAAUUGCGCUUGUGACUGGCGUGCUGGAGUGUGGCAGAGGGAGGUGGAAUUCCACGUGUAGCAGUGAAAUGCGUAGAUAUCUGGAGGAACACCGGUGGCGAAGGCGGCAUCCUGGACCAACACUGACGCUGAGGAGCGAAAGCCAGGGGAGCAAACGGG